rnacentral:rRNA from 1 species
UUCGGUCAUUUAGAGGAAGUAAAAGUCGUAACAAGGUCUCCAUUGGUGAACCAGCGGAGGGAUCAUUACAGAGUUGUAAAACUCCAAAACCCACUGUGAACAUACCUACCGGUUGCUUCGGCAGGCGGUCCCAGGGCGGGACCAUUGCCUAUCUCAGGCGCCUGCCGGAGGAUUACUACUCCAUACCAUACCUGUCGUUCUGAGCUCGUUAAAAAAAAUAAGUCAAAACUUUCAACAACGGAUCUCUUGGUUCUGGCAUCGAUGAAGAACGCAGCGAAAUGCGAUAAGUAAUGUGUAUUGCAGAAUUCAGUGAAUCAUCGAAUCUUUGAACGCACAUUGCGCCCGCUAGUAUUCUGGCGGGCAUGCCUGUUCGAGCGUCAUUACAACCCUCAAGCCCAGCUUGGUGUUGGGGACCUAUGGUCACCAUAGGCCCUGGAAAUCAGUGGCGGGCUCGCUAAUGCCCCGAGCGUAGUAGAAUCUCUCGCUCAGGGCGUAUGGCGGGUUCCAGCCGUCAAAACCCCACUAUUUAUAAAAGGUUGACCUCGGAUCAGGUAGGAAUACCCGCUGAACUUAAGCAUAUCAAUAAGCGGAGGAA